rnacentral:misc_RNA from 1 species
GAUGAAGAACGUAGCGAAAUGCGAUACGUAAUGUGAAUUGCAGAAUUCAGUGAAUCAUCGAGUCUUUGAACGCACAUUGCGCCCCCUGGUAUUCCGGGGGGCAUGCCUGUCCGAGCGUCAUUGCUGCCCUCAAGCACGGCUUGUGUGUUGGGCCUCCGUCCUCCUCCCGGGGGACGGGCCCGAAAGGCAGCGGCGGCACCGCGUCCGGUCCUCGAGCGUAUGGGGCUUUGUCACCCGCUCUGGAGGCCCGGCCGGCCGCCGCCGACCCGUCCAGACCUUUAACCGGUUGACCUCGGAUCAGGCAGGGAUACCCGCUGAACUUAAGCAUAUCAAUAAGCGGAGGA